GGUGAAAAGCACCCCGGAAGGGGAGUGAAAUAGAACCUGAAACCGUGUGCUUACAAGUAGUCAGAGCCCGUUAAUGGGUGAUGGCGUGCCUUUUGUAGAAUGAACCGGCGAGUUACGAUUUGAUGCAAGGUUAAGCAGUAAAUGUGGAGCCGUAGCGAAAGCGAGUCUGAAUAGGGCGUUUAGUAUUUGGUCGUAGACCCGAAACCAGGUGAUCUACCCUUGGUCAGGUUGAAGUUCAGGUAACACUGAAUGGAGGACCGAACCGACUUACGUUGAAAAGUGAGCGGAUGAACUGAGGGUAGCGGAGAAAUUCCAAUCGAACCUGGAGAUAGCUGGUUCUCUCCGAAAUAGCUUUAGGGCUAGCCUCAAGUGAUGAUUAUUGGAGGUAGAGCACUGUUUGGACGAGGGGCCCCUCUCGGGUUACCGAAUUCAGACAAACUCCGAAUGCCAAUUAAUUUAACUUGGGAGUCAGAACAUGGGUGAUAAGGUCCGUGUUCGAAAGGGAAACAGCCCAGACCACCAGCUAAGGUCCCAAAAUAUAUGUUAAGUGGAAAAGGAUGUGGCGUUGCCCAGACAACUAGGAUGUUGGCUUAGAAGCAGCCAUCAUUUAAAGAGUGCGUAAUAGCUCACUAGUCGAGUGACACUGCGCCGAAAAUGUACCGGGGCUAAACAUAUUACCGAAGCUGUGGAUUGUCCUUUGGACAAUGGUAGGAGAGCGUUCUAAGGGCGUUGAAGCAUGAUCGUAAGGACAUGUGGAGCGCUUAGAAGUGAGAAUGCCGGUGUGAGUAGCGAAAGACGGGUGAGAAUCCCGUCCACCGAUUGACUAAGGUUUCCAGAGGAAGGCUCGUCCGCUCUGGGUUAGUCGGGUCCUAAGCUGAGGCCGACAGGCGUAGGCGAUGGAUAACAGGUUGAUAUUCCUGUACCACCUAUAAUCGUUUUAAUCGAUGGGGGGACGCAGUAGGAUAGGCGAAGCGUGCGAUUGGAUUGCACGUCUAAGCAGUAAGGCUGAGUAUUAGGCAAAUCCGGUACUCAUUAAGGCUGAGCUGUGAUGGGGAGAAGACAUUGUGUCUUCGAGUCGUUGAUUUCACACUGCCGAGAAAAGCCUCUAGAUAGAAAAUAGGUGCCCGUACCGCAAACCGACACAGGUAGUCAAGAUGAGAAUUCUAAGGUGAGCGAGCGAACUCUCGUUAAGGAACUCGGCAAAAUGACCCCGUAACUUCGGGAGAAGGGGUGCUCUUUAGGGUUAACGCCCAGAAGAGCCGCAGUGAAUAGGCCCAAGCGACUGUUUAUCAAAAACACAGGUCUCUGCUAAACCGUAAGGUGAUGUAUAGGGGCUGACGCCUGCCCGGUGCUGGAAGGUUAAGAGGAGUGGUUAGCUUCUGCGAAGCUACGAAUCGAAGCCCCAGUAAACGGCGGCCGUAACUAUAACGGUCCUAAGGUAGCGAAAUUCCUUGUCGGGUAAGUUCCGACCCGCACGAAAGGCGUAACGAUUUGGGCACUGUCUCAACGAGAGACUCGGUGAAAUCAUAGUACCUGUGAAGAUGCAGGUUACCCGCGACAGGACGGAAAGACCCCGUGGAGCUUUACUGUAGCCUGAUAUUGAAAUUCGGCACAGCUUGUACAGGAUAGGUAGGAGCCUUUGAAACGUGAGCGCUAGCUUACGUGGAGGCGCUGGUGGGAUACUACCCUAGCUGUGUUGGCUUUCUAACCCGCACCACUUAUCGUGGUGGGAGACAGUGUCAGGCGGGCAGUUUGACUGGGGCGGUCGCCUCCUAAAAGGUAACGGAGGCGCUCAAAGGUUCCCUCAGAAUGGUUGGAAAUCAUUCAUAGAGUGUAAAGGCAUAAGGGAGCUUGACUGCGAGACCUACAAGUCGAGCAGGGUCGAAAGACGGACUUAGUGAUCCGGUGGUUCCGCAUGGAAGGGCCAUCGCUCAACGGAUAAAAGCUACCCCGGGGAUAACAGGCUUAUCUCCCCCAAGAGUUCACAUCGACGGGGAGGUUUGGCACCUCGAUGUCGGCUCAUCGCAUCCUGGGGCUGUAGUCGGUCCCAAGGGUUGGGCUGUUCGCCCAUUAAAGCGGUACGCGAGCUGGGUUCAGAACGUCGUGAGACAGUUC
rnacentral:rRNA from 1 species